GUCAGCACCCCGCUCUGAAGAUACGGGGCUUCAUGCCUCUCCUUUGGAUAGCUGACCAGCUAUAGCCUUAACUGGCUACGUUAUUGGGAAGCGUUAAAGUUCUUACCUUGGGAUGCGAAGCUAGUCCCAAGCUCUAAAACUCGGGCAUUUAAACAGUUUUACGAGGGGUNGUGGGGGGAGAAAAUAAUCCCGUUACGGGUUUUUAGGGCAAUUAAAGCUUUAAAAAUUGC
rfam:Planktothrix serta PCC 8927 isolate BBR_PRJEB10992 genome assembly, scaffold: BBR_A_PL8927_scaffold58